rnacentral:tRNA from 1 species
CGGGCUGUGGCGCAGCCUGGCUAGCGCGCUUGCUUGGGGUGCAAGUGGUCCCGGGUUCAAAUCCCGGCAGCCCGACCA